rnacentral:rRNA from 1 species
GAUGAACGCUGGCGGCGUGCUUAACACAUGCAAGUCGAACGGAAAGGCCCAAGCUUGCUUGGGUACUCGAGUGGCGAACGGGUGAGUAACACGUGGGUGAUCUGCCCUGCACUUCGGGAUAAGCCUGGGAAACUGGGUCUAAUACUGGAUAGGACCACUUCUUGGAUGGUGUGGUGGAAAGUUUUUUCGGUGUGGGGUGAGCUCGCGGCCUAUCAGCUUGUUGGUGGGGUAAUGGCCUACCAAGGCGUCGACGGGUAGCCGGCCUGAGAGGGUGUACGGCCACAUUGGGACGGAGAUACGGCCCAGACUCCUACGGGAGGCAGCAGUGGGGAAUAUUGCACAAUGGGCGCAAGCCUGAUGCAGCGACGCCGCGUGGGGGAUGACGGCCUUCGGGUUGUAAACUCCUUUCGCUAGGGACGAAGCGUUUUUGUGACGGUACCUGGAGAAGAAGCACCGGCUAACUACGUG